rnacentral:tRNA from 1 species
UCUAAUAUGGCAGAUUAGUGCAAUAAAUUUAAGAUUUAUAAAUAAAAUAACCUUUUUAUUAGAA